rfam:Oryzias latipes DNA, chromosome19, strain: Hd-rR.
CUGGGUUAUGGAGACAUGUACCCAGAGACAUGGUCCGGAAUGCUGGUGGGUGCGCUCUGUGCCUUGGCUGGUGUGCUUACCAUUGCCAUGCCUGUACCUGUCAUCGUUAACAAC